GUCCAAUGAUGAGACCAAGGCGAAUAGGAGCUUACUGAUUGAGAGUUGGGUACUUCUAGCCUUGACUGGCAGGUAAUCUUGGCAGUGCAGGGGAGAAUUCCUGUUCUGCUGUAAGGGCCUGCCCAUAGUGACCUGGCUCACCCGAAAUGUUCUUCUACAGCGACAGUGGAAUAAUUGCGGGAUAGAAGCUGACAUUGAGUGUGCGCGCGCGAGUGUGAGGCAAGGAGUUCACCCAGCUCUCUUUGCUGUUCAGUGGGCAAUGAAUUCUCUCUUUGGUAAUCUGAGGGCU
rnacentral:snoRNA from 1 species